CACGUAGGGUGCGAGCGUUGUCCGGAAUUAUUGGGCGUAAAGAGCUCGUAGGCGGUGUGUCGCGUCGGCCGUGAAAACCUGCAGCUUAACUGUGGGCUUGCGGUCGAUACGGGCAUCACUGGAGUUCGGCAGGGGAGACUGGAAUUCCUGGUGUAGCGGUGAAAUGCGCAGAUAUCAGGAGGAACACCGGUGGCGAAGGCGGGACUCUGGGCCGAUACUGACGCUGAGGAGCGAAAGCGUGGGGAGCGAGCAGG
rnacentral:rRNA from 1 species